rnacentral:rRNA from 1 species
UACGGGGGGGGCAAGCGUUGUUCGGAAUUACUGGGCGUAAAGGGCGCGUAGGCGGCUUUUCAAGUCGGGCGUGAAAUCCCCGGGCUUAACCUGGGAACUGCAUUGGUGACUGCAAGGCUUGAGUGUGUCAGAGGGAGGUGGAAUUCCGCGUGUAGCAGUGAAAUGCGUAGAUAUGCGGAGGAACACCGAUGGCGAAGGCAGCCUCCUGGGAUAACACUGACGCUCAUGCACGAAAGCGUGGGGAGCAAACAGG